UGAGCAAUCUGCCCUUCUCAUCGGAAUAAGCGUUGGAAACGACGUCUAAUGCCGAAUACGACCUCCUUUCGCAUGAUCGGG
rnacentral:rRNA from 1 species